rnacentral:rRNA from 1 species
CCUACGGGAGGCAGCAGUGGGGAAUAUUGGACAAUGGGGGGAACCCUGAUCAAGCCAUGCCGCGUGUGUGAAGAAGGCCCUCGGGUUGUAAAGCACUUUCAGUGAGGAAGAACGCCUGGUGGUUAAUACCCAUCAGGAAAGACAUCACUCACAGAAGAAGCACCGGCUAACUCCGUGCCAGCAGCCGCGGUAAUACGGAGGGUGCGAGCGUUAAUCGGAAUUACUGGGCGUAAAGCGCGCGUAGGUGGCUUGAUAAGCCGGUUGUGAAAGCCCCGGGCUCAACCUGGGAACGGCAUCCGGAACUGUCAAGCUAGAGUGCAGGAGAGGAAGGUAGAAUUCCCGGUGUAGCGGUGAAAUGCGUAGAGAUCGGGAGGAAUACCAGUGGCGAAGGCGGCCUUCUGGACUGACACUGACACUGAGGUGCGAAAGCGUGGGUAGCAAACAGGAUUAGAUACCCUAGUAGUC